rnacentral:rRNA from 1 species
CACUGAAAAGUAACUUGUAUAAACAAGAUUUUCUAUAAAGGCUAUAGUUAAAAUAAAUAAAAAUUUAAGAAAUUAUUAAGAAAGUAUUUUUUUUGAAAUUAAUUAUUACUAUAUUUUAUAAGUACUGUGAAGGAAUUAUGAAAUAAAAAUUUUAUAUAAUUAUAGAACUAUUUAAUGAAGGUACCUUUUGUAUUAGUGAUUAUUUAAAUAUAAAUUUAUAAUUUUAUCUCGAAAACAAUAGAUUUAAAAAAUUAUUUAUGUUUAUGUAUUAUAAUAAUAUAAUAUAAUUUUUUAGAAGUGAAAAACUUUUCAUUAUUGUUUAUAUCUAGUAACCUAAGAAAUAAUUUUAGAUUAAAAUAUUGAGAAAAAUCAAUUUUUGUUUUUAUAAAUAUAUUUUUAAAUUUUAGGGGAUAAGCUCUAUAAUUUUUUUAUAUAAUUAAUUUAAUUAUAAAAUUUUAUUAGGCUUAGAAUUGGCUUAGUAUUUUUAUAAAUUAUAAAUAGAAGAAUAUGAUUUAAAUUUUAUUAAUAUUUUAUUAGGUCUAUUAUUUUAAUUAUUUAAGAAAGUGAAAAUGAUAAUAUUAGUAGAUUAUAAUAUUUUUUUUUUAUUAAAUUAAUUAAUAAAAUCUGAAAAAUGAAAAAUUAUAAAAGAACUCGGCAAAAGACAUUUCCGAAUGUUUAUCAAAAACAUUUCUUCCUUUUAUAGGAAGUAGGGCCUGCUCACUGAUUUUUAAAGAGCCGCAGUAUAUUGACUGUGCUAAGGUAGCAUAAUCAUUAGUUUUUUAAAUGAAAACUGGUAUGAACGGUUUAACGAGAAAUGGACUUUUUUUAUAAUUAAAUAUUGAAUUUAACUUUUAAGUGAAAAGGCUUAAAUAAUUUUAAAAGACGAGAAGACCCUAUAGAAUUUUAUAAUAAGUUAAUUUAGAUUAAUUAGAAGGAAAAAAUCUUUUUUAAUAUUUUAUUUCGUUGGGGCGACGUUAAGAUAAAUAAAACUCUUAAGUUUAAUUAUUUUUUCUGAAAUAUCUUUGAUCCUUUAAAAAAGAUUAAAGGAAAAAUUACCUUAGGGAUAACAGCGUAAUCUUUUUUUAGAGUCCUAAUCGACAAAAAGGUUUGCGACCUCGAUGUUGGAUUAAAAUUUGUAAAGGGUGUAGAAGUUCUUUAACAUGGUCUGUUCGACCAUUAAAAUUUUACAUGAUCUGAGUUCAGACCGGCGUGAGCCAGGUUGGUUUCUAUCUUUAAAGACUUUUAAUUUAACUUAGUACGAAAGGACCAGUUAAAUAUAAAUUUUAUUAUUGAAGGAGGUUAUUUAAUUACAUUUAUAUAAAUUUGGCAGAUAAUUGUAUUAGAUUUAGAAUCUAAAAAUAAGAAUU